UCCCAAGGACAAAACCAAAGUUUUCUCUGGUUAUCCAGCCAAAAUCCAUGUCUUCCAAUCCAUGUCUUCUCACAAUUGAUGCUUGAAACUCAUCUCAGGUUGCAUGAUUGUUGCAACCCAAGCUUUCUUUUUGUCCUCUUUCUCAUGAAAAUUGUGGUUCUCUUAUGGUCCCGACCUCCUUGGAGUUUUCAUGCCAAAAGUUGGAGACUUGGAAGUAGAGGAACACAUCUGGAUUUUAAUUAAAUGGAGUCAGAGGAUGAUCAAGUUUAUAUUCCUCAUUAGGUGAACAAGUUCCACCAGUAUGGAUGAGGAGGGUUGUUCAUCAACAAGUGAACUCUAAGGUGCGUGGUGGUAGUUCUGGCUAGCUAGGACACAUUCAGUUUUGACAAUUAGCUUAGGAGUUCUGAUGAGCUCAAAACUUUCAAUUGGGUUUACCAAGGUAAAAAGGAGAGAUUUUCUUGGAAAUAUUGAGAAUUUAGUUCUAGGGACUGAUUUUGGUAGUCCAUUUUCAUUUGCAGUUUACUUUUAAGUACUUCAAAAGUGGAGUGCAAUUAUUAAGCCGUUGAAGUGUCAUCAAAAUUGCCAGUUGGGAAGCUAUCCAUUAAAACUAUGGUAGAGUCUUGUUGAUAGUCAAUUUCAAGAUUCUGGAACUUAUAUAUCUGCAUAUUAGCACACUACUAUGAAAAAAGUAGCAUAAUUUAGCUCAAGUUGGUCAAAAACAGGAGUGUUGCCUCUGAGUAGCUUUGGAAGCCAUAUUCUCAAAAGUUUCUUCUUGCAUCUGUUAAUUACUGUGAAUUGAUCUGUUGACUCACAGUCUUGUGGCUUGUUGUGUAGUUUAGUUUUCCAUUGAUGAAAAGAAGUUUGUAUAUUUUUGUAGUAAAAUAUCAUGAGGUCAAAAGAUAUCCAAUAUUUUUUUGCAGAUACUGAUACUUUGCAGAUAUUGAAUAGGGGCUAUUUUGAGUUUGGCUGGUCCCAAAUCUAGGACAAACGAUUAUCAUGAGGUUGCUCAGAAUGAUACCUGUAAGCGGCAAAGAAUGUCAUCAUGUACUUAUGAGGAGAGCCAAAGACUAAUUCCCAAUCUUUCCCAGUAUAUAUGAUUGUUUAUCAGAGAUUUUCUCACAUUGGAAUUAACUUAUCAGACAAAUGCAAUUUUUAGGUUCCUAUGGAGAUUAUUGUAUGUAAUGGUUUCAAUU